rnacentral:rRNA from 1 species
GACGAACGCUGGCGGUGUGCUUAACACAUGCAAGUGGCGCGACGAACCAGAGCUUGCUCUGGGGCAAAGCCGCGAACGGGUGAGUAACACGUGGGUAACCUGCCCCGAUGACUGGGACAACCCGGGGCAACCCGGGCUAAUACCGGAUGAUGCAUCCAGGCCUAAGCCUGGAUGCCAAAGGUAGCUUCGGCUUCCGCAUUGGGAGGUGCCCGCGGCCCAUUAGCCUGUUGGUGGGGUAAUGGCCUACCAAAGCAACGAUGGGUAGCUGGUCUGAGAGGACGAUCAGCCACACUGGGACUGAGACACGGCCCAGACUCCUACGGGAGGCAGCAGUGGGGAAUCUUGCGCAAUGCGCGAAAGCGUGACGCAGCAACACCGCGUGAGGGAAGACGGCCUUAGGGUUGUAAACCUCUUUCAGUUGGGACGAAGGUUCGACGGUGAAUAGCCGGCCGGACUGACGGUACCUUCAGAAGAAGCUCUGGCUAACUACGUGCCAGCCGCCGCGGUAA